UGUGAGCGUAUACCAAAGUUGUUGCAGUUAAAACGCUCGUAGUCGGAAUUUGGCAGUUCCGGAUGUGUGCACGUCGUGUGCGCGCUUUGCGGGAAUUGCUUUUGUGGUCUUGCGUAGGAUGAGGCACUUUUAUUAGUGAACGUCCUCACGCAACCACUUUUUACUGUGAGAAAAUCAGAGUGCUCAAAGCAGGCAUUUGCCGUGAAUGUAUUAGCAUGGAAUAAUAGAAUAGGACUUGGUUCUAUUUUGUUGGUUUGUUGGGACUGAGUAAUGAUUAAGAGGGACAGUUGGGGGCAUUUGUAUUUCGGUGCUAGAGGUGAAAUUCUUAGAUUACCGAAAGACAAACUGCUGCGAAAGCGUCUGCCAAGGAUGUUUUCAUUGA
rnacentral:rRNA from 1 species